rnacentral:misc_RNA from 1 species
GAAAUGCGAUAAGUAAUGUGAAUUGCAGAAUUCAGUGAAUCAUCGAAUCUUUGAACGCACCUUGCGCUCCUUGGUAUUCCUUGGAGCAUACCUGUUUGAGUAUCAUGAAAUCUUCAAAGUAAAUCUUUUGUUAACUCAAUUGGUUUCUACUUUGGUAUUGGAGGUCUUUGCAGCUUCACACCUGCUCCUCUUUGUUCAUUAGCUGGAUCUCAGUGUUAUGCUUGGUUCCACUCGGCGUGAUAAGUUAUCUAUCGCUGAGGACACUGUAAAAGGUGGCCAAGGUAAAUGGAGAUGAACCGCUUCUAAUAGUCCAUUGACUUGGACAAUACUUUUAUGAUCUGAUCUCAAAUCAGGUAGGACUACCCGCUGAACUUAAGC